CAGCAGCAGAUCAGAGACCCCACUCAACAUCUUCAGUCUCUCUGUCUACGCCCCUUUCUCCACUCCUAACAUCACCAGAGACUCUUUAUCUGUUCAAAACUCAUCAUCUUCAUCAGGACCAGCAUCCAGCUGUGUGUUUCUGUGUUCAGUGGUGAAUGUGAGUGAUGUGACUCUCUCCUGGUACAAAGGAAACAGUUCAUUGUCCAGCAUCAGUGUGUCUGAUCUCAGCAGAAGUCUUUCUUUACAUCUGGAGUGUCUGGAUGAUUCCUACAGCUGUGUGGUGAACAAUCCCAUCAGAAACCAGACCACACAUCUCAACACUCAACUCUGUCAGACAUGUUCAGCACACUCUCCUUCACAUCUUCCAGAUGGUUCUGUAUCUCUGAUAGUGUGGAUCUGUGUUGUUGCUGUUGCUGGUUUUCUGUUGAUUUUAGCUGCUGUCGGGAUCUUCUUCAUCUGCAGGAAACACAGAAAAACAGACCAAGAAGUUCAGACCGGUGACAGAGAGAUCACUUACGCUGAAUAUACUGCACUUUCUUCACAUAGUAAUGUACAUUUAACAGUAAAACAGAUGUUUGAGCUUUAGGAUGAAGUAAAGUUGAUUAAAUCUUGAUGUGUGUUUGUAUUUAUCAGUUGUUGUUGGUUGUUGAUGAAGAUUUGUCACAGAUACAAAAUCAUUUCUAAAAGAACAAUAAACUAAAUUAAACUACUGAGUAACAAUAUCAUUGUUUUUAGUUAAUUUCUCAUUUAUGUCAGACACUGAUAUUAAUCUUUCAUCAUUAACAUUUUACUUUAACAAUUCAAAUGUAUCAGAACUAAACAUAUUUAAAGAGAAAAAUCAUUUUACUUAAUUCACAAGAUCCAGGCUUUAAAACUCCUUUGACAAAUUAAAAAACUCUACCAGUAUUGUUUUUGAACAGGAAGAUUUUUUAUGUU